GGGCAUGUGGUGUAACUUGGAUAGCACGGCAGCUUGCGGAGCUGUUGGUUGCGGGUUCAAAUCCCGCCAUGCCCG
rnacentral:tRNA from 1 species